CAGAGGUUUAGGCAUUGGCCAAGACAAAAGUACUUCAUUGAAAACAGUGGAAUCAUGGAACAGAAACAGCUAGGUGGACAUUGAUUAGAGCACAGGCAUUUAUUUGGUAUCCAUAGCUAACAGAAUGCCACUAACAAUGGAGGAAACCUGUCUUCACUAGCACACUGUCAUGGAGAGAUUAAUACUGUAAUUUUUUCAGUGGACUAAUGUGAAAUUCACUAGAGCAAAAUCAUCGAGUGACACUGAUUCCAGAAAGAGUGCUGCUAAAGGAGAAAGCGCCAAGGCCCUCUUAGACAUAACACUGUGUAGUACACUACGAAGAAAGAACCGAAACCCAGAUGUCUCUACCUCUGCGAGCAAAUAAUGGC
rnacentral:lncRNA from 1 species